ensembl:lncRNA
UGGAGAUGUGCGCAAAAUGUGGCCACACAUUUCGCCUGCAAAGGACUUGUCUCUGGUGCCAAAGUUUGAAGUGUGAAAGGUGAUCUUCACACUGCAGGCCUGUUACUACAGCUAAUACAAAGGUUGACUUAGAAUAUCAACGUUUUUACAAAUCUGUCAGGCACUUAUCAGUCUGUUUUUAAUCCUGUGAAGUAAAAAAAAAAAAUUACUGAUUGAGCACAGCACACUACUUCUACUAGUUAGUGUUCAAUACUGAGAGUUUUAACGAAUCCAUUCAAAUACUUGGACUAGUUCCACUUUUCUAACUUGUGUUACUCUUUUUGUUGAAUUAAUCUUUUAUAAUCUCUUUGUUAUUCCUUCGGGCAACUCUUCUAAUUGUGGAUUACCGAGAUUCUCUGACUGUACCUCAUAAUCUCAAGUCCGAGCAGAUGUAACAGUUGGUAGUAAAGCCCCUUUGGAGAGUCUGAGAACGGUUCAGGAGGAACACAUGAAUAAGAGCUGUGGAUUUGGAUGAAUAGAAUUGAAUAUAUUGUGUAUUCAAAGCAACUUUCCAUUCUCAUGACAUACAGCGGUACUACAAAAUGCUUCUCAUCUGCCAGUCAUCAGCAUUUUGAAGUAUUUUGGUUUGGUGGGAAUGCAGAGACUUGCAUUGUCUCUUCAGAGUAUUUUGUAAGAACAUGCUGUUUGAAAACGAGGCACAUAAACUGCUCAAAAGACUCUAAGUGUGGGAAAUGAUACUGUAUGUACAAUCAGGAUAGCGAUUAUAAUUACAAUGGAAAGAGCAUUGUAUGUAUUUUAAAGCUAUUGAUACUACUUUGAUAAUGAUGUAAAAUGUAAAAAGGCUGAACAGGAACUAUAGGUAUGUAAAGUUAUACUGUGUAUAGAGGAGUUUGCUCCAGGGGGAGGGACGGGCAUGGGGUUCAUUCUGUUCAUGGCAAAAAUUGUUUAAAACAGAAUAUUGAUGAUUCUUGUCUGUGAUGUAGACAACGUCAAUGUUUUUUUUCUUUUUGAUAAAAUGAAAAAUAUGAAAA